rnacentral:rRNA from 1 species
CAAAGGCUUGGUCCUGACUUUAUUGUCAGCUUUGGCCAUACUUACACAUGCAAGUUUCCGCACCCCUGUGAGAAUGCCCGGGACCCCUUAUGAGACCUCGGAGCGGGUAUCAGGCACACACUGUAGCCCACGACGCCUUGCUUAGCCACACCCCCAAGGGACUUCAGCAGUGAUAGAUAUUAAGCCAUAAGUGAAAACUUGACUUAAUUAAGGCCAAGAGAGCCGGUAAAACUCGUGCCAGCCACCGCGGUGAGACGAGAGGCUCAAGUUGACAAAUACGGCACAAAGCGUGGUUAAGGAAAUUUUUUAACUAAAGUCCAACGCUUCCAAAGCUGUUAUACGCAUUCGAAAGUAUGAAGCCCAACUACGAAAGUAACUUUAACACCCCUGAACCCACGAAAGCUAAGAAACAAACUGGGAUUAGAUACCCCACUAUG